rnacentral:rRNA from 1 species
AUUGAACGCUGGCGGCAGGCCUAACACAUGCCAGUCGAGCGGAUGAAGGGAGCUUGCUCCUGGAUUCAGCGGCGGACGGGUGAGUAAUGCCUAGGAAUCUGCCUGGUAGUGGGGGAUAACGUCCGGAAACGGGCGCUAAUACCGCAUACGUCCUGAGGGAGAAAGUGGGGGAUCUUCGGACCUCACGCUAUCAGAUGAGCCUAGGUCGGAUUAGCUAGUUGGUGGGGUAAAGGCCUACCAAGGCGACGAUCCGUAACUGGUCUGAGAGGAUGAUCAGUCACACUGGAACUGAGACACGGUCCAGGCUCCUACGGGAGGCAGCAGUGGGGAAUAUUGGACAAUGGGCGAAAGCCUGAUCCAGCCAUGCCGCGUGUGUGAAGAAGGUCUUCGGAUUGUAAAGCACCUUAAGUUGGGAGGAAGGGCAGUAAGUUAAUACCUUGCUGUUUUGACGUUACCAACAGAAUAAGCACCGGCUAACUUCGUG